rnacentral:rRNA from 1 species
GGGGAUGCAGGUGAUCGAGUAGUACACCCGGUCGGAAGGUAGUUGGACGAGCAAUCGUUGGGCGAUACGUACAGAAGCACCGCGUCCAUCUUGCACCAGCAGCCGCUGUAUAAGAAGGUGGCAAGCGUUGUCGGAUUCACUCGUGUACAGGCGCGUACGGCGGUAUGUGAGCGCUUGAUAACGCUGGGGCACAUCGGAAAGCGUAGAGGGUACUGCCAGAGAGUGGACGGGAGAGAGCGAAGACUCCGCGUAGUAGCGAUGUCAUGCGUUGAGAUCAAGAGCAAGGCCGGUGAAGAAGGCUGUGCUGUGGAAGGUUAAUGACGAUGAGACACGAAAGCGUGAGGAGCAAACAGGAUUAGAUACCGUGGUAGUCCACGCCCUAAACUAUGGAUAGUAAGUGUCGAGCGGGUUACCGCCGGUGCCGCAGCUAACGCAUUAAGUAUCCCGCCUGGGGAAGUACGCCCGCAAGGUUGAAACUCAAAGGAAUUGACGGGGGCCCGCCCAAGCGGUGGAGCAUGUGGUUUAAUUGGAGGCAACGGGAAGACCCUUACACAUGUUGGACAUUCACGUAGUAGAAAGGGGAAAGUCUUCCGAGGUAUCAAUUCCAGGGAACUCAGGUGCUGCAUGGCUGUCGUCAGCUCGUGUCGUGAGAUGUUGGGUUAAGUCCCGCAACGAGCGCAACCCCCAUUUUCAGUUGCUACCGGGUCAUCCGGACCAUUUGAAAGGGACUCCCCAGACAAACGGGGAGGAAGGGGGGGAGGAGUUCAAUUCUCCAUGGCCUUUAUCCCAGGGGCCCCCCACUUGUUCCAAUCCCCGGUCCAAAGGAACGCAAACCUGCAAGGGGGAGACAAUCGCAAAAAACCGGCCCCAUUUCAGAUGCAGGUUUCCAAUUCCACCUCAGAAACGGGGAAUCGUUAGUAAUCGCCAACCAGCACGCCGCGGUGAAUACGUUCCCGGG